AACUUAGAUAAAAUACUUACCCAUCCAAACGAUAUCUUUCAAGUUCGGAAGCCAUAGAUAGCUUCGUAAAAUAGAUGCGGAUCCCUUCAGGCCAGAUAAUAAGAAAGAGAAUUAACAUUAUCUCUUGCCUGUUGGAUCAGAAAGUAAUCAAUCGUGUAGUAACUACACGUGCUACUGAUUACCCAAAAAAAAAACUACACGUUCUACUGCUGCCAUGAUCUAGGUGAUGAUUGUUUUACUUGUUUUUAGUUUUUGGAUUUUAGUUUUGUUUUGUAAAAUAUUUUAUGCUAUUAAAUACUCCCAACUUAUCUCCUAUUUUAUCUCCCCCC
rnacentral:lncRNA from 1 species